CUUUCUGUAGUUUAAAGUUUUUAUUCCUGCUCUGGAGAUUACCUAAAAGCUAUGUAGGACUGGUAUCUGAAAUGCCAUUCAUCAUUUGGUAAAGACAGAAGAAUAAGCAACAGCAAGUGAUACUGGGCUGCUAAAAUUAAUCAGUAUUACACAGAGGCCAGUCUUUAGAAGGUACUUAGUGAUAUUGCACUUACUGCAUGGCAACUUUAAUACUGAGGACUGGCUUUGUGAAGUCCUUAUGUGGAAUGUAAUAUAAAAGCACUUAUUAGACUUCUCUGUUCCUGUGACUUUCACGUACUUCUUCAGGACUGCCACAUCCCUGUCCCUACAAUUUUCCUAGAAUCUUUAUUGAAAUGGUUAAAUUGUUAAGUCUUUAGAUUCUUAGGUGAGCAGCCACAGUGGAACCUUGGCCAUACUGAAGCCGACAGAAAAUUUGUUAUUGACAUCAUCAAGGACAGGCUUUCACCACCUCUCAAGACAAAUACACUGGUGGGAAGUAACACUUCUUUUAGGUCUCCAAGAGUAUCUUAAAUUGCAAUGGCUUUGAGGGGGGAAAAAUCAGUGCUGGAACUCUUAAUGUAUCCAGGUACAUCUAAAUUUCCCCUGGGGAUGGGAUGACUUAACUGUCAUUUCAAGUUUUACAUUCUUCCUUUAAAUCAGCUAUUUCAUUUAAAUAAAAAGGUUCUAUUUUCUAGGAUGGAAAUGCAGCUGCUUCAAGUAACCCUGCAGCAUGUUGAUUUAUUACUGACUAUAUACUCGUUCAAGGAGAAGAUUCCUUAAGAAGACAUUCUACACCCAGCUCCAUAUUUCUUGCUACAUAGCACUUUAUAUUAAUCUCACCAUAUCUGUAUCCAUGAAAUUUGGGAGGAAGAAAUGGAAAAUCAGGUUUUGCUAGUUGAACAGCUUUGUCCUAUGUCCUCUGCUCAAGAGCAUACCGAGAAAAUUGUGACAGCCCUGAGACUGCUGACAUCUCCGAAAAAAUAUGACAUUUGUCCCUGGAGCACCAGUUGGAUAUGACCUGGGCACUCUGCAGACACAGCAAGGCCUGUUCUGUGCAGCAGUUGUUAUUUUGCCACUAACCUAGUAGCAAUUCCAGAAGGCAAGGAGUACUGCAGACUGCUUGUUAUUGGGAUCUGCAAAUGCACAGAGAGAAGUUGGGAGACUUUAAUGGCACCAGCUGCAGCAGAUCUUCAUUUGGGCCCUCUGUCAGGACCUAGUGUUUAAACAAGGAGCCUGUUAAUCAUUUCUGGAAAACUUCAAUUUCAUUUGAAAGCCAGCAAAUGGAUCUUAAAAUGCAC
rnacentral:lncRNA from 1 species